AGACCCGAAACCCGGUGAUCUAGCCAUGGGCAGGUUGAAGGUUGGGUAACACUAACUGGAGGACCGAACCGACUAAUGUUGAAAAAUUAGCGGAUGACCUGUGGCUGGGGGUGAAAGGCCAAUCAAACCGGGAGAUAGCUGGUUCUCCCCGAAAGCUAUUUAGGUAGCGCCUCGUGAAUUCAUCUCCGGGGGUAGAGCACUGUUUCGGCUAGGGGGCCAUCCCGGCUUACCAACCCGAUGCAAACUGCGAAUACCGGAGAAUGUUAUCACGGGAGACACACGGCGGGUGCUAACGUCCGUCGUGAAGAGGGAAACAACCCAGACCGCCAGCUAAGGUCCCAAAGUCAUGGUUAAGUGGGAAACGAUGUGGGAAGGCCCAGACAGCCAGGAUGUUGGCUUAGAAGCAGCCAUCAUUUAAAGAAAGCGUAAUAGCUCACUGGUCGAGUCGGCCUGCGCGGAAGAUGUAACGGGGCUAAACCAUGCACCGAAGCUGCGGCAGCGACACUAUGUGUUGUUGGGUAGGGGAGCGUUCUGUAAGCCUGUGAAGGUGUGUCGUGAGGCAUGCUGGAGGUAUCAGAAGUGCGAAUGCUGACAUAAGUAACGAUAAAGCGGGUGAAAAGCCCGCUCGCCGGAAGACCAAGGGUUCCUGUCCAACGUUAAUCGGGGCAGGGUGAGUCGACCCCUAAGGCGAGGCCGAAAGGCGUAGUCGAUGGGAAACGGGUUAAUAUUCCCGUACUUGGUGUUACUGCGAAGGGGGGACGGAGAAGGCUAUGUUGGCCGGGCGACGGUUGUCCCGGUUUAAGCGUGUAGGUGUGUGUUCCAGGUAAAUCCGGUUCACUUUAACACUGAGGCGUGAUGACGAGGCACUACGGUGCUGAAGCAACAAAUGCCCUGCUUCCAGGAAAAGCCUCUAAGCAUCAGGUAACAUCAAAUCGUACCCCAAACCGACACAGGUGGUCAGGUAGAGAAUACCAAGGCGCUUGAGAGAACUCGGGUGAAGGAACUAGGCAAAAUGGUGCCGUAACUUCGGGAGAAGGCACGCUGACACGUAGGUGAAGUGAUUUACUCAUGGAGCUGAAGUCAGUCGAAGAUACCAGCUGGCUGCAACUGUUUAUUAAAAACACAGCACUGUGCAAACACGAAAGUGGACGUAUACGGUGUGACGCCUGCCCGGUGCCGGAAGGUUAAUUGAUGGGGUCAGCGCAAGCGAAGCUCCUGAUCGAAGCCCCGGUAAACGGCGGCCGUAACUAUAACGGUCCUAAGGUAGCGAAAUUCCUUGUCGGGUAAGUUCCGACCUGCACGAAUGGCGUAAUGAUGGCCAGGCUGUCUCCACCCGAGACUCAGUGAAAUUGAACUCGCUGUGAAGAUGCAGUGUACCCGCGGCAAGACGGAAAGACCCCGUGAACCUUUACUAUAGCUUGACACUGAACAUUGAGCCUUG
rnacentral:rRNA from 1 species